GGGGAUUUAGCUCAGUGGUAGAGCGCUUGCCUAGCAAGCACAAGGCUCUGGGUUCGGUCCCCAGCUCCG
rfam:Rattus norvegicus chromosome 2, whole genome shotgun sequence.